rnacentral:lncRNA from 1 species
CCCCCCCUCGGCGGUCCCCCCGCGCCGGGGCCGCACUGUGAUGGUGUUGCCGCUGCGGCGUUGAAGGGCCGGGUGGGCCGGCGGCGGGGGGCCGGGCUCGCGGCGGGGAGCCCCUCGCAUGGCCGCCGGCCCGCUGGGCCCCCCCGGCGUUGGGCCCUCCCCGGCGCCGCCCUCCGCACGCCCCUGCGCGGGCGUCACGGCCGACGGGGGCGUCACGGCCACCGGGGGUGUCGCCGAUGGGGGUGAGGGCGUCAUGGCUGCCGUUGAGGGCGUCAUGGCCGCCGUUGAGGGCGUCAUGGCCGCCGUAGGCCUCGCGGCCGCCGUUGAGGGUGUCGUGGACGUUGUCGAGGGCGUCAUGGCUGUCGUUGAGGGUGUCAUGGACACUGAAGGUGUCGUGGACGUUGAGGAUGUCAUGGACGUCGUUGAGGGCGUCAUGGCCGCUGUUGAGGGCGUCAUGGCCACCGUUGAGGGCGUCACGGCCGCCGUAGGCCUCACGGCCGUUGUUGAGGCUGUCGUCAUGGCCGCCGUGGUGGCCCCCCCACCUCCCCUGCCCGUCCCCUGUCCCUCAGCUGUCCCCACACCCUCGUGGCCACCCGCCGUCCCCCCCCGGCCCUCGGCCACCUUCCAGGACCUCACCAGCCCCCUCACCGUCCCCUCGGCCGUCCCCAGCUCCUUGCUCGGGCCACCAGAUGUCACGGGGCUGGUGGCCACCUCGGGGGGCUUGGGGACAGCCGCCUGAUGGCCCUCGGCUGUCCCCUGUCCCUCGGCUGUCCCCAAGCCCUUCGUUGUCACCUGGCCCUCAGCUGUCCCCAAGCUGGUGGCCAACCCUUGGCCCUUGCCCACCCUACAGCCCUCGGAUGUCCCCUGUCCCCCAACCGUCCCCUGUCCCUUCACCGAGCCCCACCCCCUGACUGUCCCCAAGCCCUUAAGUGUCCCCCGUGCCCCAGCUGUCCCCAACCCCUUGGUUGUCCCCUGUCCCUCCGCCGUCCCCGCGCUGGUGGCCACCCCUUCCCCCUUGCCCGUCCCGAGGGUCUCCACCGUCCCCUGUCCCUCAACUGUCCCCAAGCCCUCGCUUGUCCCCAAACCUUCAACUGUCCCCAAACCCUCAACUGUCCCCAAACCUUCAGCUGUCCCCCGUUUCUCGGUUGUCCCCCGUCCCUCAAUUGUCCCCAAACCCUUGCUUGUCCCCAAACCCUCAACUGUCCCCUGUCCCUCAACUGUCCCCAACCCCUUUUUUGUCCCCAAACCCUCAAUUGUCCCCCUUCC